CCUACGGGGGGCUGCAGUGGGGAAUAUUGCGCAAUGGGCGAAAGCCUGACGCAGCGACGCCGCGUGAGGGAUGAAGGUCUUCGGAUCGUAAACCUCUGUCAGCAGGGAAGAACGGUCACUGUGCUAAUCAGCAGUGAAUUGACGGUACCUGCAAAGGACGCACCGGCUAACUCCGUGCCAGCCGCCGCGGUAAUACGGAGGGUGCGAGCGUUAAUCGGAAUUACUGGGCGUAAAGCGCUCGUAGGCGGUAUGUCAAGUCAAGGGUGAAAUCCCCGCGCUCAACGUGGGAAGUGCCUUUGAAACUGGCAAACUGGAGUGUGUGAGAGGAUAGUGGAAUUCCAGGUGUAGGAGUGAAAUCCGCAGAUAUCUGGAGGAACAUCAGUGGCGAAGGCGACUAUCUGGCACAUAACUGACGCUGAGGAGCGAAAGCGUGGGUAGCAAACAGGAUUAGAUACCCCUGUAGUC
rnacentral:rRNA from 1 species